GUCGCCACUCAACUCAUACCACGCCACGUUGCAGAUGCCCUCGUACACCUGGUCAUACUGUUGUAGGAAAAUAAAUAUGCAUAGAUGGACAUGCUGUACGCAGAAACCACAAAAAAGAUGGCCGAUGGCAUGUGAAAGCUGCUCAAAUUAAUGCAGAAGCUGAGCAUCAUAGCCAAAGCCAUCGAGAGAACCUGGGUGGCAAUCAACUCGUAGUAGAGGGCAUUUAUGGCGCGACAGUACCUAAAAUCGAAGGAAACAAUGACCAAUGAUAAUGGUAUACUGAGGAUAAAUAUAAUCCAAAAUGUAUGAACUCUAA